rnacentral:tRNA from 1 species
GGGAUGUAGCUCAGGGUAAAGUGCUUGCCUAGCAUGCAUGAGGCCCUGAGUUCAAUCCCAGCACCCA